AGCGGCGGACGGGUGAGUAACGCGUAGGAAUCUACCUGGUAGUGGGGGACAACUUGGGGAAACCCAAGCUAAUACCGCAUACGCCCUACGGGGGAAAGCGGGGGACCUUCGGGCCUCGUGCUAUCAGAUGAGCCUGCGUUGGAUUAGCUUGUUGGUGAGGUAAAGGCUCACCAAGGCGACGAUCCAUAGCUGGUCUGAGAGGAUGAUCAGCCACACUGGAACUGAGACACGGUCCAG
rnacentral:rRNA from 1 species